UGUGGAGUUUCACAUUCCAAAUCGCGUGAUGCGCCAGUUUGGAAUACUUCAGACAUGUCCUCCCGAGCAUCUCAGUACUAGCCAAGAGCUGCAUGCAAUCGAUCGUCGCAAGCAAAGGGGUAUGAAAAACUGGGAGGAGAAGCAUGUUGCGCAUGUCAAUGCUUGGAAUCUCCGGGCAAACAACAUUGUUUUUGGUGGACCUGUUCACCGUGACUCCCAGUUCAAGAUAUACUUGGAGUGGUUGAAGCAACAAACAAGGCUGAAGCUAAAGGUUGCAAUGGACGCUACCAACAUCGAGGAUUUGCCUUCGGACCUCGAAGAUGUCUUCGACGAGUAUGAUGCUCACACGAGAAUGGGUAGGCAGCCCGAGAGAGGACCCUUUGAAGAUUACAUUGUAAGUUAUAAUUUACAUUACUUGAAUACAACGAAUCAUGCAAUAGAUUGUGACCUAUUGUGUAUAUGACAUAUGCACCUGCAGAGUCAUCAAAUUGGUCGUUUUGCUAAUGAGGCGGGACAAGCGUUUAGCGUGCCAAUAGGCUCUCCGGAUGAGGCCACCGUGCUUAGGACAUUUUUGCAGAGGUUUAGACGGAGAUGCCGGAAAAUGGCCUUCAAACUAAACUGCUUAUCAGCACAAGGACAAGGACCGGCGGAUCAUGAAGAACCUUCCGGAUCGCGCCAACGUGGUGGAAGGAGCAUGAGUUUAACACCAGAUUUGGGCACAUCAUCUACAGAUUCCGUUCCGUAUUUCUAAAAUGAUUUCCAUUUGUGCUACUUCUUGUUUUGUGAGUAGUUAUACAAAUGUUGAAUACAUACUGUUUUGUAGGAGGACGUCGCAUGCAACUAGGGGCUGUCAAUAUGU